UAAUUUAAUAAACAUGAUAUUUUCAACUAGGGCGACUAGGCUACAUUGGCUACAUGUAUUUCCUCUGUCUUUCUUUUAAUUCCCAUCCAAGGACCCUCUUCUUGUUUUCAUAAUUUGGAUGUUAGUUUUGUGACACAUUAACACCCCCUCCCUCCCAUAGAUGCUUAUAAUUCUUUUCAUGACUCUAUCCCACUUCCCUCCACUGCCUGUUUGAUAGUUUGUGACACUAAACGCUUAAGUGUAUACCUCUCCUCACUGCCAGCUCAUCUGGAGUGAUCACAUGCAGUGGGCAUGGUCUAUGGCUUCAAAUUAGCAGCCCGCACUUUUUCUUUCAUUCAUAAAUUAUAUAUUAUAGAUAUCUCGAUCCAGGUCAUGCUUAUUCAUUGAAAAAAUCAUAGAUUUAUUCAUCCCAAUAAUAUUUCUUAUUACGAUUUUGCUGUGUCCAAUGAAGGAGAAUGAGCUGAAUUCAUUAUUAUUCGUUGUACACCCCCUUAUUAAAUUAUAUUUAACAGCUAACGGUAUAAAUGUGAUUGGAGUGUCUUUCUAAAGAUGUUUGGAAGCUUAUUUUGAUAUAUCCAUCAGCCUACGAUCAAACAGGCUCAUAAUAUAGCCUUCAUCCCUUAUAUGGGUAUGAAUUGCCGGGGGAGGUUAAAACAACAGCUUUACAUACAUGGUUACCGAGAAUCUAAAAAACUGCCAUCUGCUUUGGAAAAACGGAACAAAAUUACCGGAACUUAUCUAAAAUUGGACAUGCGCAAUCCCGAAGCGUUGAUUUUUGCUCCAAACAUAAAAACAAAUGAAUUACAAACAAAAAAAGCGACCCGCUCAUUGAAGGAGAAUUCGAUGGGGUGUCCAAAAUAUAAGAAGCUACUAUAUAUAUCUAAUCUAGAUUCUAUUAUCAAAUUCAAAAUAACCUAUUCAUUCUAUACAACACACUUUGAAGAGAUUUUUUUCACAGAUAAUUUAGUAUAUAACUGAAAUAUUGUAUAUUUCAUUUUUUUUUACCAUUGCCCUAUUUCAAGAUGAGUUGGUUUAACUGGUAAAGUCAGAACAUUAACAGAAGGACAUUUCUUUUUGAUUAUUGAUAAAGCAGCUGUUUUCACAACCAUGAAUUCUGAUAUUCAGUCUGUUGCAUAUGAAGAUUUUUUACAAGAUAUCAAAUGCAAUGUAAAAAAUAUAAAUUCCCCUAAAAGGAAAAUUUCUAAAAAUGGAAACAUUCUGGAUUCCAUCCCCAAAAUAAACAACAACAAAAAUGAUUUGUCAAAAUCUCAUCCAGAAGUGCUUGAGCUUCAGAGUACUAACACAUUUAAUAAGGACAAGGUUGGAACAUCAAUGUCCUACACUGAGUUUCUAAGUCUUUUCAAACCACCACCCUCAGCAAGGAAUGUAGUAGCUCAUGAUGAGGAGACUCCCUCAGACAGUUGUAUGGGAUCUUCCAACAAAGUUGUCAAAUGCAGGUCUAUAACAUCUUAUUUUAGUCAAGCUGAGGGAAAAGUCAAUAAAGGUGGUGUCACUUCUUCAGACACUAAUAAAAUGACUGUGACGGCCCAAGUCCACAAUUCAAAACUGUUAUCCGUGGCUCAGGGAUCUACUGCAACUUCGUUCAAAUCACGAAAUGUGCAGAACUAUUUAGAUGUCAGUAAAGAAGCAGAUAGUAUUGUGUUACUGAGUACAGAAACUCUGGAAGACAGUGGAGAUUUUGUUAAAAGCAAGAAACUUUCAACCAUGAAAAGAAAAAAUGUUGAUCUCCAAGUCCAGGAGACUAAGUUGAAAAAGCCCAAAUUUGACAUUUUGACAGAAAAGAACAAUACAAUUAAAGAUGCUGUUCAUUUGAAUACAAAUCUUGAUGACUCUGACUCUUCGGAACCAUCUCAUGGUUUCAAUUGCUCGCAAUCAACUCUUUGUUUUGGCAAAAAUGGGAUUUCACUGCUGAAAGCAGAUAAAAGUGGAGCCAAAGAACAAGCACAAAAACAAAAGUUUGUAGCUGAUGUAAAAAAUGGAAAGAAUUUAAUUUUUUCUAACGAUGUUAAAAGUACAGAAGCUGAUGUUGUUACUACUGAUGCUGUCUUAGUAAUGUGCAACAAGAAAAGACCUUCGCAGAAGACCACACUAACACAUUCACUAGCAGAGAACAUCUUGACUGCACAUUCAGUAGAUGAUGAGGAAGUGAAGGUUGUAUCAGUUGAGACACCAACUUUGCGGAGAAGUUCCAGAAUCAGACAAACUCCUAAAAUUUUAGACAAUUCAGUGAUUGAAGUGGAUCUGGAGAGUGAUGAUGAGGCUCCCAGAAAUAUAAAGAAAAAAAAAUCUCAUUUACCAAGCAACAAUACAGAUGUGAAACUAGCAGGAAAACUUGCCCCAAUAUUUACUCAGGUCAAGUCAAAAGUUGUUGAGGUCAAGAAAGGUCAACCUGCUGUGGAUCCUGAAACAUUACGAUUGAGAAGAGAGUUUUUGAUGAGCGGCAUUCCUGAUGAACUAAAGAGGCAGAUAAAUACUGCAGCUAGUGCUGUAGUGGUCUCUGAUUACCCCCCUAUUCCAAAAAUCAGCCAUAUCCAACAGCUAAAGACAAUCCCAAGCAAAGCAAUGACCACCAAACAUCUUUCUUUUAAAAAAAAUGAUUUUCAGCCUAUUGAUGACAACUGUUUAUUGAAAAGUUUUACCUGGGAGAAAAUAGACACAAUUGACAACCCAAUAGUUCCAAAAUUGUUUGAGAACUAUUGUUCCCAUCCAGUUAUAUCUGAAAUUCAUGUUAGAAAGUUACUGUCUAAGUAUCAAACAUUGGAAAACAGUAUGUGUUAUGAAAAAUUGUAUAGGCACUGGCAAUCAAAGUUGCUUGCAACAGCACAAGAUCAAGAGCCGUCUAAAAAGUUGCAUGAAGCCGAGGAAAUAAUUGUUGUAGAUGACACGCCACCACGUUCUACUAAGUCUGACAAUAAACAAAUUCUUGAUGUCAAAGAUUGUUUAUGGACAGAUUUCCACCAACCAGAUUGUACUGACCAUAUUGUUGGCAAUAGUGGUCUAAUUAAACAAUUGAAAUCUUGGCUUGAGAAAUGGAAAUCUUUGUUACAGAAAGAAGAUAAAAAUGUUUCAUCAAAACCUGUCAUGAAAAGUAAAAAAACUAGCUCCUGGUCAGAUGACAGUGAUUUCACUGACAGUGAUGAGGAGGAGAACAAGCUGUGUAACACUAUGUUAAUCACUGGGCCUCAUGGAACUGGGAAAACAUCUUCAGUCUAUGCAUUGGCACAUGAGUUAGGCUUUAAGGUGUUUGAAGUGAAUUCCUCCUCUCUAAGAAGUGGUAAACAGCUGCUUUCUCAACUUGAAGAAGCAACUCAGUCUCACAAAGUAGCUCAGAAGAAAACAGAAACUGCAGUGUCAGAAGAAACCAUAGUUAGAGAUACUGUCCCACAGAAAGAACCCAGUAAAGACAAGCUCAAAACUAAACCAAAAUCAACUUCAAAACCUCAUGCAGCAUCCGUUGCCAACUUCUUCAAAAGCAACAUUCCCUCUCAAAUGGCAAAUGAUAAACUGAACAAACACAAAAACAAUGUUAAGGAUGAAAAGAAGCAGAUGAAGAAUAAGGAAACAAAGUGUUCAGAUAGAGAGAAGUCUGCCUCUAGUCCUGUGGAAGAAAUCUGUGAACAGAAUCCCACUUCAGGUCAUGUUAACCUUUCCACAGUUUCACUGAUUUUAUUUGAUGAGGUUGAUGUUGUGUUUGAAGAUGAUAAAGGUUUCCUUGCCACAGUACAAUAUUUUAUGAUGUCAACCAAGAUACCAAUUAUCAUGACAUGUACCAGUUCACACUUUCACAACCAACUCUCAGCAAAGUUUGACAGUAUCUUUUUCAAAAAACCAUCAAGAUCCAGUAUUGCUAGAUAUUUAAGCACAGUCUGCCUGUCACAUGGCAUCAAUGUGGACACUUCGUCUCUCUCCUCACUUGUGGAUCACCUCAAGGGAGACAUCAGAAAAUGUUUGCUGUCCCUUCAGUACUGGUGUGAGUCUGGAGGUGGGCGCACCACAGAAGAUGUUGAUAUAGAUCAUGACUCUGUGACUUUGAAUUCAUGUGAAAAUGAGAAUAAUGCCAAGAUGAAAGUACUAGGCAGAAAGAAAAUGGUAAUUGAUGAUGAAGAUUGUAAUCAUACAGUCAUCCAACCAAUCAGACACAAGUUUGGUAUCAUGGCUCAUAAAGACAUUGUCGAGACCUUAUUAGGAUUAGCUUUGAAAGAAACAUUUACGCCAGGGACUGUUUUUAAAUUAAUCGAUGUACAUUUAUCAAGUUACAGCAAGUUCAGUGAUGCUAUUCAGCUUAUUGACAUUUUUAAUUCAGUCUUUUCUUGUAACAGUUUGUAUCAAGUCGCCUUAUUUAGACUUGCCUUACCAAAAGUCCAGAGGCCAGGAGUAAACUUGACAGAAUCAGUUAAAGACACAAGGUCUUGUAAGAAAACAAAGAAACGUAUCCUACAAUCCUGGUUUGACAGUGACAGUUCCAGUGACUCCCCAGACAGCAAUAUAAACAACCCUAUUGAAGUAGCUCACCCUGUCCAGAACACAGAUCUAUCCCAUCAGUUUAAUACUCCAGAGGACAUGUCUGCUGAGACCAGCAGAGCUAAAGACUCCAAGUCUAAGGUUACAAUUUCUAUUCUGUCAGAAAUUUCUAGAUUUUAUGACAGCAUGUCCUAUGUUGACUGUCUAGAACAUUUUGAAAGACUUGAUGUCCAGGCAACUAGCCCAGGAAUGAAUGACCAGGAGCUUCUUCUAGCACACAACAAAUAUUCCAACCUGGGAGAUGUGUUUCAGCCAAUGGGCAGUGCUGUCAGUUUGUUGGCAACCAGGAACAUGUGUCGUAAGGUCAAUGAGCAUGCAAAUACAUGGUCAGAGAAAACUGUUCCAAAUCAUGACUCACUAGCUGAUAAACAGAAUAGUUGGCCUGAAGAGUUUCAUCUACCUGUAGGGGAUGUGCCAAAUCUUAGUGAUGAUACUCAAUUGAACAGCUCUAAAAAUGUUGUGACUAAAAACAUUCUAACCAAUCUGGGUAACAUUAUGUUUGCAUCUGACCAAAAGUUGAACACAGAUUAUCUCCCAUUCCUGAGAGAAAUUUGCAAAAGUGAGAAAGAAAGACAUCUUUCUAAGUCUCAGAGAAGUUUUCCAGAUGUGUGGAAUUAAGCAAAUUUGCAACGAGUGGUUAUAGAUGUGAGAGAAGAUAAAAGAGAUUUGUUCUGCACAUAGCUUGAUCAGCCCUCCACUAAAUUUAUCUGGUCCGGAAGCUUUUGUUACGUUUACUCUUUUAAAUAAUAAGGUCACCUCAUCUUCAGGUACAAAAUUGAUGUAGGGUUUUUGUUUUCCUUUGGUACAUAUAUAUAUACAGGGCUUUUUUUUUUGUGACGGUACGCACCAGCACGGCGUACCGGCACUUUAAAAAAAAAAAUAUUACUUUUCGUAUAUAUUAGCAUAUAUUAUUGAUUUUUAGUAGUUAAAAGUUAGGCAAUCAACUACUGAGUACUGUCACCUAAUCAUAAGUACCAGCACCUAUUUUUUUUUACAAAAAAAGCAAUAUAUAUAUAUAUAUAUAUAUAUUAUGUAGUUCGAAAUCCGCUAUCUUUAAAAAGGUAAAAACUGGGUAAACACCUCCUGAUUUUUUUUAAAUUAAAUUACUGGUAGAUGGCUAUGAAAUGAAGUUUUUCCACAUCCAUUUAUAAACCGAAAUAUAGGUGUAUCAUGCAGGUGAUGUGUCAUUAUCAUUUUUAAAAAGUCUUAAGCCCUGACCUAUGUGGUUCUCCUGGUACGUGAAAAAUAAUGGACAAUUUCACACCUGUCAACUUUAACCUGGACUCAAAAUUAAUUUUCUGCUGUGAAAGGAAAACCCUUAUAUUGGAAAUGUAGAGAAAUGGACCAUUCACAGUACCGUUACAGUAGUUUAGCAGAAAAUUUCAAAAUAAAGUAGAUUUUAACUAAUUUCGACGAGCUGUUCCGCAAACAUGCCUUCUCCGCAAUAGUGACUCUACUAUACAUCCAUCACUAUCAGUGCACAUUUAAAUCCAUCUCAAUCUGCCCCCUAUUUAUAACCAUCUAUGAUUUGAAUAAUUUCUUUUUAAAAGCAAUUGAUUAAUCUACAUAUAAAAUUAAUUAUUUUUAAAUAAGGUUAAAUAAUUUUCUAAUUAUUCCAAUUCAAUACAAUUUAUGAUUUAAUGUAAUCUAUUAAGGUAGUUAAUUAAAAAAAAAUUCUUAGUUAUCUUUUAAAUAAGUUUGUACCACUAGUCACUUGUAAUAUUCAUAGACUUUAAAUUUGUUUGCAUUACAUAAUUAUCAUCUACUCUAGUUAGGUUAUUAUUAUUUCACUAUAAUUUUUUUUACUAUUAUUAUUAUUAUAUUUUAUUACUAUUAAUUUUAAGAUUUUUUUAUUAAAAUAUUAUAUAGCUAUCAUUGUUAAAUACAAAAAUAUAAGAAAUUGAAUUAAAGUUUUAAAGGCAAUACUAUGAUUUGUUUUUCACAUUUAGGUGAAACAUCAAGGACACUUUACACUCCAUUAAAAAUUGCUAGAUGCACCAGAGUUUCUAUUUAACUCUCAGAUUAAUGCUUUUAGUUGUCUUCUAAAUUAGUUGUCAAACCAUGAUAUCUCUACUGUUAGUAAACUCCGCUCAAUUUUUAAAUCAAACUAUACCUCAGUCUACACUGGGCAUAUUAAUGAGAUAGUUUCUCAUUACAAAGGGAUGUAUCAGGUUCAUAAGUGGGUAUUAAAAAAAUGUGCUUCACCACAAUACCUGGGCUGAAAGAAUCUUAGGUUUUUUAAUUUAUUAUCAUGAAAAGCACCAAAUGCUAAAAUGGCUAUUUUUAGAUGGUAACAACGCUUGCAUUAUCUUUGCACUAAAAAAAGAGAUGAGCAGGAGACACAUUUUCUUUUAGUUUAUCAAGAAAAAGAUGUGGGGAAAUUAUUAUGGAUUAAUUAAUUGAGAGUGGACAGAUGAGCAAGAAAUGAAAUGGCAAAUGAAAUAAAAGCUGCUUUGAAAGACAUUGGUGUGCAUAUUCUUUAACACAUGUUUUGAUCAUAGAAAAUAUAUUGUUUACAAAAGCUAAUAAUCUAAGAAUCUGUGAGAUUCACGAUAUCCCAUUGGAAAAAUUAUGAAAAUAAGGAUGAUGCUGAGAUUAUACUUGUUCUUUCAUUGUGAUAGUAUUUUACAUUUCCUUAAGUGUUUUUUAAUUUUAUUUGAUUGAUUUGCUGAUGUGUAAGUGAUAAUUGUAAGUAUGCUAUUUUAUUUCCAAAAAAAAAAAAAUUUUUUGUAAUAAAAAAAUCUAUUUUGAUGAAUAAAAUAAAAUAUCUAGACAUUUUUUCUUAUAUAAAAUCAUGCAUUAGGCAUUAAUAUUUAGAAUGCAUGAUACCAAUUAUGUUCUUCAUUAACGUGUAAUGCAGAUUUGAUAUAGAUGUAAAAAUUAUUUACUUCAUGCAUCAAAAAUUACUUAAAAUCAAAGUAUUACUUUUCAAUUUUUUAAAUAAUAAUCUCAGCAUAAUAAUUAAUUCAUACUUUAAAAGUAUAGGUACCAGGCACUUAACUAAAAUUAUUUUUUUCUCUUUUAAGAUUCAAAAUGAAUUUUUAACAACAUAAGUACUUUUUCAAUUACAAAUAGUGUUUUACUAUAUAUUCCUUAAGAGUACACUUUAAAUAAUAAUUAUUAAUCCUAUCAGUACAUUCAAAAUUAAUUCAUGUUACAUGCAAUAAAGAGAAACUCAAAACAAAAUGAAAAAAAAAUGAGGUUCAUUCUUGUUACAAAAUUAGCUCAAUUGGCAGCACAAUAAAAAAAAAUACUCUUGACCUAUUUCCCAGUUUGAUUCAACUUCCGGUAGUGAACAGAAAUAACAAGGAUCUCAAAAAUCAAGACUUUUCCCCUCUCAAAUAAAAAUUAAUAUCUCCCCUUCCACUUGUCAUACAAUGAUAAAUUUAGUAUGGUUGGAAAUAUUUUUUCAAGCCCUUUUCAACCAUAUAGGUUUUAUUAGUAUAUUAUUUCAGCAUUAUUUCAACACAAUAGGACUAAAUCUGGAUCAGUCGACUGUUGACAGUCUGUCCUCAGAGUGAUCCAUAGACCAAGGAUAACCUGAGAAAGUACCAUUCCAAGUGUGGUACAGGACAACAGUCAGGAAGUAAACUCAUAAAUCACUUUAUAGAGAUUACAUUAUAUUAUUAACCUACAUGUUAGGAAUUUGAAAUGAAGGGAGCAGUUAUUCAAUAGGAUAUGAAACAUAUAUUUUGUUUAAAUCAAUCUACUUGUCAGAUAAUUAAUGAAUGAAUAUAUAAUUCUUUAAACCAAAAGAGAAUAUUAUAGUUAAAUGCAGUGAGUAUAAGUAAUUGCUAUGGGCCCUGUUAAGAAUUAUGACUGACUUUGGCUACAUUGAGAGCUAUGACUAAUUGACCUGGGUUAUAAUGUCAUGAAAUGGCAAACUAGCCACUUAGUUUCUUAUUUAUUUAGCUAAAGUAAUAAGCAUAUGGCAAUUAACUUAAGUGUCCCAUUAUUUAAAUGAAGUUCCAUUAUAUUCACUUGAUGCUGCAAUGUACUAAGGGUUAUUGAAAUUGAGGCAUCAUUGUAAUUAUUUUCUGUUCAGCAAGAAAUUAGUUUGUAAACCAAAGAAAAUGUCACCCUUCAUAAUACAGAUAAAUUAGUAAUGUAACUCAAAUUAUAUUUUACCUUAAGUCUAUUUUGUUCAUUUUUUUCCUUUGGUUGUUUAUAAAAGAUUGGCUACAUGGGAAAGUGAUUGCAGGAAUGGACUCAAUAGUUUUGUAAAUUUGGUUACAUGUGUUUCUACUAAGUGUAAAUAGUGUGAUAUAUAUUUAUUGCAUCUAUUAAUGGGUGAUGUAGAUUUUAUGAAUGGAGUCCAUUAUUUCAUUGAUUUGUAAAUAUUUAUCAAAGGAUUUUUCACAUACACAUUUUGAGUUUAUUGUACUAAGGAAUUUCUAGUGAAGAGUAAUUCAGCAUGUGAUGAAAUAAUGAAUAAUCUGAACAAAAAAUUAGGAUAUCCCUUCAAUAGAGAAAGCUAAAUCCACCUAGAAUCAAUAUAUAUAUAUAUAUAUAUAUAUAUAUAUAUAUAUAUAUAUAUAUAUAUAUAUAUGGCUCCUUCUGUCUCAGAAGACAAUGGAUGGAUCCAGAUGAGUCACUGGUUUUGGUUUCUACUUGAAACAGGGCAGAAUCUGGAGGGACUGUUUUAGGGCUAGCUGAUAGGGCAGCUUAUGCAACUUUGUUUCUUUUGCUCUUUGUGAGGUUCGUACCAGCACACACGCCAAUAUUAUUGUUCUAGACUAAUUGUAUUGUUAGUUAUAUAUUCUCUCUCACAAAUUUUGUCUAGGAACUAUAUGUAAGAAACUAGGAAUAGGUGAAACAAAACUUGUUUGUUAUAUCAAGUGUGUGUCCAAAAUAAUUUUUUUGUUUUACCAAUUAAAUGACAAACAAAUGUUUUUUUUUCUUUCUAAGUCAUUGUAGAGUGAGGUGUUUUUUUCCCAACUUUGUGGACAUAUUGGAUCUUUGUAUGUAUGAAAUAUAUUACUAAUACAUUUUAUUAUUGUAAUAAGA